CUACUGUUAUUAUAUAUUUUCCUGGUUUCUUGUCAUGGUUAUUCCUUAUCCUCUAUCCUUUAUGUACUUUCUUUUGCUUUAGAUGCUAGAACAAAAAGCAAACUAAUGUAACCCAGUGUGCUGAUGUAGUUGCUUCAAAAAUAAAGCAUGGUUAAAGAUCCCCAGUAGAUGAUGCAGUGCUCAUUCCUUGCAUAAACAAAUCCAAACACCAAGCAAGUGUAAAGAAGCCCAAGUUGGAACACAAGUUCUCGAGGAUAGCCGAUGGCUUUACCUCCUUACAGCAGGUAACAGAGGAGCUGACAAAAUCUGGGCUUGAAUCAUCAAAUCUCAUUGUAGGAAUUGACUUCACAAAAAGCAAUGAGUGGACAGGUAAGAACUCAUUCCAUGGCAGCAGCUUGCACCACGUUGGAACUACUAAAAAUCCUUAUGAACAAGCAAUUUCAAUUAUUGGACGAACCUUGUCAUCAUUUGACGAAGAUAACUUAAUCCCAUGCUUUGGUUUCGGAGAUGCAUCUACCCAUGACAAAGAUGUAUUUAGCUUCUAUAUGGAGCUAGAUUUGCAAAAGCCAUAUCCAACUCGAGGAAGUGACUUAUUGACAUGGGAGAGAACUUAUUGGUAACCAAGGACUUUGUGAAGAUAGCAAAUUUUGGCCUUGCUCGUGAAGUUCAUUCGAAGCCACCAUUCACAGAAUAGGUUUCAACACGCUGUUUACAAAUCUCAAGUACUCCAGAGUUGAAAUUGAUGAAAUGCAGUUCGAGUGGGCUGA